UAUGGGAUUUUUUUCUAAGUAGAUUUUGACUGAAGCAGUAUGGUGAUCUAUACUAGCCUCCUAAUACUUACCUAUGGGAAAGCUUUGGAUUGGGGGAGGAGUACCGUAACGGAUCCCCUAUACUCUGGCUGAGUAUAUCCGCUGAAGAGUGUCCCUGGUCCCGCAGAGUGAAAGUGUGUUAUAGUAUCCCAAGACUUGAUGAAGGGUAAAUCAGAAUGUUUUAUUAGGGCCAAGUUGCCAGGUCAUACCCCCAGCAGGGCCGGCACUUCCAUUAGGUCAGUUAGGCAGUGGCCUAGUUCGCUGUUUAACCGAGGGCGCUCGCAGGGGCUGUAAUAAUCAUCUGAACUCACCACUUGAAUACGCAGAGCGUGUAUCACCUCCCCCGUGACAGAGCUGCCGUGAACGCCCGCCCCUCACUUCUCUAUCCCUCCUCCACUCUUGCCAUAAGGAGCGAUAUAACCCCGCCUCUGGCCGGGCAGAUAAUCUGAUACAUGGCCCCCCCACAUCUAAACCCGCCUCUCCCCACCCCAAUCUGCAUCCCCACCUGCCUUUACCCACUCCUCCCAAGACCCUAAAUCCAGACACCAAAGCCCCCAUUUGAAUAUGUGAGAGCUUGCUGUGUUUGUGUGUGUCUGUUAGACAGUGUGUGUGAGUGUAUGUAUUAGGCAGCGUGUGUGUCUAUCAGACAGUGUGUUUGUGUGUGUGUGUGUGUGUAUUAGACAUUGUACUAUUAUACAGCAUGUGUAUGUAUUAGACAUUGCGUGUCUAUUAUACAGUGUGUGUGUGUGUAUGUAUUAGACAUUGUGUGUCUAUUAUACAGUGUGUGUGUAUGUAUUACACAGUGUGUGUCUAUUAGAGAGUGUGUGUAUGUAUUACACAGUGUGUGUGUCUAUUAGACAGUGUGUGUAUUAGACAUUAUGUGUCUAUUAGACAGUUUGUGUGUGUGUGUAUGUAUUACACAGAGUGUGUGUCUUAUAGACAGUGUGUGUGUGUUUGUUAGCUAGGGUGCAUGUAUACUAGACUGUGACAGUGUGUGUGUGUGUAUGUAUUAGGCUGUGUGUGUGCGUAUUAGACAUUGUAUGUCUAUUAGACAGUGUGUAUGUAUGUAUUACACAUUGUGUGUGUGAGUCUAUAAGAGAGUGUGUGUAUUAGGCAGUGUAUGAGGCCCUGGAGAGAAAGCGCAGCUAAGCGGACAAGGGCACAUGUAGGAGUGUGGGGGUAGAUGCGUGGGAGUGUCUUGGGAAGUGUGUG